rnacentral:rRNA from 1 species
CGAACCCCGGGGCAGGAGCGGUGGUAAAGCGUGGGGUGGAAGGGUUGGCCGGAUGUAUUGGGCGUCAAGGGCUCGGAGGCGGUGCGACAAGUCGGGGGUGAAAACUCCGGGCUCAACCCGGAGACGCCACCCGAUACUGUCGUGACUUGAGUCCGGUAGGGGAGUGGGGAAUUCCUGGUGUAGCGGUGAAAUGCGCAGAUAUCAGGAGGAACACCGGUGGCGAAGGCGCCACUCUGGGCCGGUACUGACGCUGAGGAGCGAAAGCGUGGGUAGCAAACAGGAUUAGAUACCCUGGUAGUC